UACGUAGGUGGCAAGCGUUGUCCGGAUUUAUUGGGUUUAAAGGGUGCGUAGGCGGCCCCGUAAGUCAGUGCUGAAAUAUCCCGGCUUAACCGGGAGGGUGGCAUUGAUACUGCGAGGCUUGAGUAAAGUUGAGGUAGGCGGAAUUGACGGUGUAGCGGUGGAAUGCGUAGAGAUCCGGAAGAACACCGGUGGCGAAGGCGGCCUGCUGGGCAGUUAGCUGACACUGAGGCGCGACAGCGUGGGGAGCAAACAGG
rnacentral:rRNA from 1 species